AGUGAACGCUGGCGGCAGGCCUAACACAUGCAAGUCGAACGGCAGCACAGGAGAGCUUGCUCUCUGGGUGGCGAGUGGCGGACGGGUGAGGAAUACAUCGGAAUCUACCUUUUCGUGGGGGAUAACGUAGGGAAACUUACGCUAAUACCGCAUACGACCUUAGGGUGAAAGCGGAGGACCUUCGGGCUUCGCGCGGAUAGAUGAGCCGAUGUCGGAUUAGCUAGUUGGCGGGGUAAAGGCCCACCAAGGCGACGAUCCGUAGCUGGUCUGAGAGGAUGAUCAGCCACACUGGAACUGAGACACGGCCCAGACUCCUGCGGGAGGCAGCAGUGGGGAAUUUUGGACAAUGGGGGCAACCCUGAUCCAGCCAUGCCGCGUGCGGGAAGAAGGCCUUCGGGUUGUAAACCGCUUUUGUCGGGGAAGAAACGCUCUGGGCUAAUACCCUGGGGUAAUGACGGUACCCGAAGAAUAAGCACCGGCUAACUACGUGCCAGCCGCCGCGGUAACAC
rnacentral:rRNA from 1 species